CAGUUGAGGAAAUCUCUAAGCAGUUGAGAAAAAUCCUCCCUGCUGAAUGUGUAUAAAUAGCUAUCGAGAGCUCACUAUCUAAAUGAACUAGGCAAUUACAUCUCAUACAUUUCAUAGUUUCUUCUACAAUUUUUAUCUUUCUAUCUUCUUCGUUUAAUUCUUUACAAUUGGUAGACAAUACUUCUUAUCUAGUUUAGUUACAUGAGAAAAGCAGGUUUUUCAGCUGAUGUUGCUUAAAAUACUAUUUUGACCUCUAGAAUCAUUAUGUAAAUAUGGUUGGUCCAUGUGCAAUUAGUGUAUGGAACAGUCUGUUCCUUUUUUGCCACAAUUAAGUUAAAGAUUUUAAAUAUAAAAAGAUAAAAAAAAUACCUUAUAAGAAAAUGGGAAAUCACACAGUCAAUGUUUGAAUAGUUUAAUUCUUUUGUAGCUGAUGUCAUACAGCUAUAUUUUUUUAACGUUUUUGACACUGUCAUUGAUAUAAUUAUUUUAUUUAUAUUCUAAUUAAAUAACAAUGAUCUUUUUACAAUUGUAAACAUGCUCACAACAGUUGCAAUCUCUGCUGUCUUUGGUUACAUCAUGCCAAAUCUGCAAUUCCUUUGUUUCUUUGUGAGACACUAUUUAACUGCAGCAGUCUCUUUCAUCAGAAAAAUUUUUUUGUCUCCCUCACAGACUGUUAACUAAUAGAUAAAGUUCUAAAUAAGGUAAAAGCGCUGAUUGUGUAUAUUGCUAAGGAUCAACCUCUUUGUUAUAAGGAAGCUUCAGGCUGUUACGUCUGCAGAACAAAGAAACACAGUUGUGACCUGGUGUAACAAAAGCUUUGUCAUAUAUGAUGCUUCUUUUCCACAGAAGAUUGUUCUUUUCUUGAGCAAGUGGUCUCGUCAAAUUGUACCCUAAAUUGAUUGACAGCUAUCAAUCACUUAGUAUAUUCUAAUUUGGUACAAGAGAUCUGUGAGCUCAAGUCACUCUUUGCAAGAUGGGAUGGAUCACCGGAAGGCCUUUGUCUGCAAUCUUCUCCAGAGUCAAAUACAAAGGACAUAAUUCAGAGACGAGCAUUUGCAUAUUAUCUGAACUACUUACCAAGGAGGCGAUGCGAGUCGGCUAGAUAUAAUCUUGUUGCUGUAAUCUUAUUGACAGCCUGAUGCUAAGUAUACUGUAAUCUUAAAAAAGAAAGAUAGGAGUCAUUCAGAUUGUGAUUGUGAUGCAGAGAUCCAUCUUAAACAUGUAUCAGCACCUGGCAACUUCAGCUUCUUCUCCCUAAUGACCCACUGCAUUCUCUUUCGAAUCUUCAUGCUGAAGCAACUGUUUAGAUUAACAGUUCUCUCCAAUUUCUGCCCUAUUAAAGAUCUAUCCCUCAUUGGUCCA